rnacentral:lncRNA from 1 species
UUUUAAUUUUGAUGAAGUCAAAUUUAUCUAUUCUUCCUUUUGUUGUUUUUGGUUAUGUCUAAUAAACUACAGCCUAAUCCACUAUCACAAAGAUGUACUCUUCUGUUUUCUACUAAGAGUUGUAUAGUUUUAGCUCUUACAUUUAGAUUUUUAUCUAUUUUUGAGAGCAACUCGUUUCUGGUGAACCACUUUGGAGUAGACUACUUCUAAAAUAGCCCCCAGUGAUCCUUGCCUUCUGGUAGGUAUGUUCUUGUGUAACCCCUCACCAUGGGUGGCCUAGACCUAAUGACUUCCUUCUAAGUAACAAAAGUGAUGGGCUAUUACUUCUGAAAGUAGGUUAUAAAAGGCUGUGACUUCUAUGGCUUUUGGCAUGAAAUGUUAUUGGUGUUUUGGUCUACAACUAAAGAGACAUUGUGCCUCUAUCAAUACAAUUCUUAUUAAAAUGUAUAAAUGGUUCUAUCAAUAUAAUUCUUUUUAAAAUGUAUAAAUGGUACAGAUAGGCAAGAGUGUAAAGGACAAGCAAGCCAGCUCUGAGCCAGAACUGCUUUUAUUCUGAAUUAGUUGUUCUGGAGUCAGGUAAAAAUCUUUCCUGAAUCCCUAAGACAAUCACUUUCCACCACUUGGAUAACACUAAGAAGGUUUUAGACCACAAGGGAAUCCGGGCACAGUGGCUCACGCCUGUAAUCCCAGCACUUUGGCAGGCCAAGGCAGGCAGAUCAUGUGGUCAGGAGUUCAAGACCAGCCUGGCCAAUGUGGUGAAACCCCGUCUCUACUAAAAAUACAAAACUUAGGGCCCGGUGUGGUCACACAUGCCUGUAAUCCAAGGGACUCGGGAGGCUCAGGCAUGAGAAUUGCUUGAACCCGGGAGGCAGAGGUUGCAGUGAGCCGAGAUUGUGCCAGUGCACUCCAGCCCGGGCAACAGAGCGAGACUGUCUCAAAAAAAAAUAAAAAGUCCCACUUACAUUAAAAUUUGAAGAGUCCCAGUGCAGGUGCUCACGUGCACACAUGCACACACAUACACACACAAACUGUAUAUUAACUGGAAUAUAUUUUUAAUAUAUAUUUAGUGUGGCAGAUGGUAAAGAUUAUUGUAUGAAACAACCAAAGAGGAGAGAUACUAGAAAAAAAUAGAAAAAAAUCAGAAACACUAAUAGCAUGAAAUGAUGGAGAGUGUCCUAGCAUAUCUUCUCUGUACCUUGUUUUUGUCAUUUGUUAUUUCUGUAAUCUGAGAAAAAUCAUACUUUAUUUCUCCAAGCCCCUGGUUGAUCUUCUGCAACAUGGGAAUGGUAGCAUGGAUUCUGGACGAUACAUGGAAGGAUGAAAUAACAAAAUAUGUGUAUAUGACUGGAGUUGAUCAAGCACUUUCUCGCUUUUCUUACCUCAAGGAUAUCACUAAUAUGAUUGUGACUGAAAAAUUUCUAACCACUCACAGGUGUGUUAAACAAUAGAUUGAAACCAAGUAACAACUAAGUAAUAUACAAAUAAUUAAAUGAAGAGUCAUUGGCUGGCAAAGAUAUAAAGAAAGUGUAAGAAAAACAAGAUGCUAGGAAGGUUGUAUUGUGUUUAAUAGGACAAAUUGAUCUACAUGUAACCAACAGGAUCUUAAAGUACUGUAACAAUCCAUCUUUUCCCCUGCCCCCAACUUCAAGUCAGGAAAUAGGAACCAAUUGAAAAGUAUUUCCUUGGCAUUUGGUCUCAAAUGAUCCUUAGAAAAUCUACAAAUGUGGACAUCUAUAGGCUCAUGAUUCUGAAAAGUUAUUUGACUCAAAAUUUUGGCUCUUGCUUUCCUCAUAUAUAAAGUGAUAGGCCAGGCACAGUGGCUCACGCCUGUAAUCCCAGCACUUUGGGAGGCCGAGGCGGGUGGAUCACGAGGCCAGGAGUUUGAGACCAGCCUGGCCAACGUGGUGAAACCCCGUCUCUACUAAAAAGUACAAAACUUAGUCAGGUGUGGCGGCGUGUGCCUGUAAUCCCAGCUACUCAGGAGGCUGAGGCAGGAGAAUUGCUUGAACCCGGGAGGCGGAGGUUGCAGUGAGCCGAGAUCGUGCCACUUCACUCCAGCUUGGGUGACAGAGCAAGACUCCGUCUCAGAAAAUAAAAUAAAAUAAAAUAAAAUGUGAUAAUGAUUAUCGUAAAAAUAAGGCAUUAUAGAGAGAGAGCCCCUAGCACAGUGCCUACCAGAAGAAUUGCCCUUCACUUCAUCCUUUCCCUCACUUCAUAUAUUCAGUUUCUGUGACCUGUAACUUCAACACAUACCACACCACCCAUUUCUUCUCAUCUUUACUCUUGUCACUUUAGUCUCUCCUCCUUUCAACUUAUUAUUCAUGUAGUGUAUUAGUCAGGGUUCUCCAGAGAAACAGAGCAAACAGCAUGUGUGUGAGAGAAAGAGAUUUACUUUAAGAAAUUGGCUCAUGUGAUUGUGGAGGCUGGCAAGGUGAAAACCUGUAGGGUAAGGUAGCAACCUUGAGAUCCAGGGAAGCUGAUGUUUCAGCUCAGGUCCAAAGACAGUCUGCAGGAAGAAUUUCUUCUUCCAGAGGAGACACCAGCCUUUUUUCUCUUAAGGCUUUCUAGUGAUUGGAUGAGGCUCACCUGCAUUUUCAAGAGUAAUCUGCAUUUCUCAAAGGGUUUUUUUUAAAGAAUAACUUCUAUUUUAGAUUCAGGAGGUACAUGGGCAGGUUUGUUACCUGGGUAUACUGCAUGAGGCUGAGAUUUGAGAUAUGAAUGAUCUCGUCACCCAGGUAGUGAGCAUAGUAACCAACAGUUAGUUUUUCCACCCUUGUUCCUUUCCUUUCCUCCCCACUCUAGUAGUUUCCAGGGUCUAUUGUUGCCAUCUUUAUGUCCAUAAUAGGCAAACAAAACCCUCUGUUGGCAAGAGUUUGAGAAAAUGGAAAUUUAUAUACACCUUUGUAGAAACUGUAAAUUGGUACUGUCUUCCUGGAGAAAUGGGUGUCUGUAGUUGAUAAUAAUAUACUGUGUACUUGAAAAACUGCUAAGGAUGUAGAUGUUAAAUGUUCUCACAACAAAAGUAAGUAUAU